rnacentral:tRNA from 2 species
GACUCCGUAGCUCAGUUGGUAGAGCAAAUGACUCUUAAUCAUUGGGUCGAGGGUUCGACUCCCUCCGGGGUCA